rnacentral:rRNA from 1 species
GAGGCUACCGCUAUUGGAGUCGAUUAAGCCAUGCGAGUCGAGAGUCUUAGGGACUCGGCGUACCGCUCAGUAACACGUGGGUAACCUGCCCUAUGCUGGGGAAUAACCUCGGGAAACUGAGAAUAAUGCCCCAUAGUUCACUACGCCUGGAACGGUGAGUGGAUGAAAGCUCCGGCGGCAUAGGAUGGGCCUGCGGCGUAUCAGGUCGUAGGGGGUGUAACGUACCCUCUAGCCAUCGACGCGUACGGGUGUUGGGAGACAUAGCCCGGAGAUGGAUUCUGAGACACGAAUCCAGACCCUACGGGGUGCAGCAGGCGCGAAAACUUGGCAAUGCGAGAAAUCGUGACCAGGGAACUCCAAGUGGCUGGGGUAAGACCCAGUCUUUUCUUGACUCUUCAAAGGUCUUGGAAUAAGAGGUGGGUAAGGACGGUGCCAGCCGCCGCGGUAAUACCGGCGCCUCAAGUGGUAGUCGAUUUUAUUGGGCCUAAAACGUCCGUAGCCUGUUUGGUACAUUCGUGGGUAAAUCAACCAGCUCAACUGGUUGAAUUCUGCGAGCACGGCCAGACUUGGGACCGGGAGAGGUGUGGGGUACGCUCAGGGUAGGGGUAAAAUCCUGUCAUCCUGAGCGGACCACCUGUUGCGAAGGCGCCACACUAGAACGGAUCCGACGGUCAGGGACGAAGCCUAGGGGCACGAACCGGAUUAGAUACCCGGGUAGUCCUAGGUGUAAACGCUGUGGACUUGGUGUCGGGGACCUUCUGAGGGUUUCCGGUGCCGGAGUGAAGAUGUUAAGUCCACUGCCUGGGGAGUACG